rnacentral:rRNA from 1 species
UACGUAGGUGGCGAGCGUUAUCCGGAUUUAUUGGGCGUAAAGGGAACGCAGGCGGUCUUUUAAGUCUGAUGUGAAAGCCUUCGGCUUAACCGGAGUAGUGCAUUGGAUACUGGGAGACUUGAGUGCAGAAGAGGAGAGUGGAACUCCAUGUGUAGCGGUGAAAUGCGUAGAUAUAUGGAAGAACACCAGUGGCGAAAGCGGCUCUCUGGUCUGUAACUGACGCUGAGGUUCGAAAGCGUGGGUAGCAAACAGG